UACGUAGGGUGCGAGCGUUGUCCGGAAUUAUUGGGCGUAAAGAGCUCGUAGGCGGUUUUGUUGCGUCUAUCGUGAAAACCUGCAGCUUAACUGUGGGCUUGCGGUGGAUACGGGCAGACUUGAGUUCGGUAGGGGGAGACUGGAAUUCCUGGUGUAGCGGUGAAAUGCGCAGAUAUCAGGAGGAACACCGGUGGCGAAGGCGGGUCUCUGGGCCGAUACUGACGCUGAGGAGCGAAAAGCGUGGGGGAGCGAACAGG
rnacentral:rRNA from 1 species